CAGCUCUGAAGUGUGUGCAGUGCCAUCGAUUCAAUGCCUCCGGGGUCUGUGAGAGCAAGGAAAGCGUCUGCGAGACCCGGGGCAGUCAGGAGUGCUUCCUACGGAAGGUGUAUGAAGGUGGAAGGCUCCAGUACGGAUACCAGGGCUGUGGGGACCUGUGCAUCCCCAUGUCCUUUUUCACACCCAACACUGAGGUGAUUUUGAAGUGCUGCAGCGACCAUUCUUUCUGUAACAAGUUUUAACCUGAGCCUUCCUGGUCCUCGUCUGUGUUGCGGAGACUGGCCCACAAACCUGCUUCUACUUAGCCAGCUACUGUCAGUUUCACAGCUUAAUCGGCAGCGUGGAUGGGUGGCCCCUACUUUCCAACAGCUCUGCUGUUUCAUCUUUCUCUGACUCUUAGCUGUCUUCCCUGACUCCCCCCAAUCCCGGAUGGGGACUUGUAGCUGCUCACCUUUCCUCUUUUCUCUCCACUCCUUCAAGCAAGAUGUUCUGAGAUGUGCAGCUCUACAGUUAGGCGUUGGUUAGACCGCAGUGCAUGUGGCAGACCUGUCAGGUUAGGGGCUCUGCCAGGCUGGCCAGGGACAAGGGCUCUGGUGUUUUGCAUGGGUGGUAUUCCUAGGAUGGUAUUUUGCAUCAGUCGUAUUCUUAGGGCUUUGGGCUU